UUCCUUGGAAAAGGACAGCUGAGAGAGUGAAACUCCCGUCCGCCUGGUAGAAUGAGUCUUUGUCAACGAGUCGAGUUGUUUGGGAUUGCAGCUCUAAUUUGGUGGUAAAUUCCAUCUAAAGCUAAAUAUUGGUGGGAGACCGAUAGCGUACAAGUACCGUGAGGGAAAGAUGCAAAGAACUUUGAAAAGAGAGUUAAAGAGUACGUGAAGUUGCUGAAACGGAAGCGAAGGAAACCAGUGUUUGUUGGUUCAUAUUUCCUUGGCCACUUGUGGUUUGGGCG
rnacentral:rRNA from 1 species